CGUAAACUAAUGCUCAGAUUAUCUAAUCUAUUCCAAACACAAGGAAAUGCAUUUCACGAUCACACAGAGAAGCUACAGUACUCAUUUAGAUAUUUUAAUGAGUUUUGGACGGAUAGUUCUAUAGUAAAAAUAAAGAAGCGCAUUCUAUAUCGCGCGAAUUCUCAACAAUCGUGUCUUCAAUAAUUUGGACACGUGAUGAGCCACCUAUACAUACACAGAUAAGAUACGAUUAUAAAUACGAAGCGGUUCUUUUAUUUUCGUCCGUUAUUUUCCUUGUCUUUCUGCCUUAUAAUCACCAGUUUGUAAUAUUCGCUUUUGUUUUUAUUCCGUUUUUUUUAACCUUUUGACUGUUUUGAGCAGAAGCACUUUGCGUGAGCGGCAUGCGAUCCAUGUAUGCGACCGCUAGGGACAUAAAAAUAAGAAAAUAGUAAUCAAUUAAAACCUUCACCGGACGCAUAUAUGCGUCCACAGGCCACACCGAUAACCUUUGUUGGACGCAUAUAUGCGCCAGUAGCAGUCAAAGGGUUAAUAUCGUAUUAUUCUUUUUCUUAUUGAUUUUUUUUAGCGAUUUUGCGGAACUGUUAAUUUCUAUGAAAUUCUAUUGUGAAAUCGAUAUAAAGAAAAAGUAGAAAUCGUCAUCAUGUAAAUAGAAUAUCACUGUAAUAAUGCGCAAAACGAAAUGUGGCAAAAAUAAAAAUACAAAAAUCGGGAGUGAAAACUCAUUUAUAGUUUCUUAUUUUCCUCAAUCUUUUUUAUUAUCUUGGGACAAGAUACCCAUCAUGCAAAAAUCAAUAAAAAUAUCAUUACAAUUGCGUACAAAGCGAUAAUGAAAUCGGUUGUUUAUAUCGUUAAAAUAGAAACCAAAAAAUCAGUAAAAACAGUGAUUGUUCAUUCGUGUUUCGCGAUUUAAACAACGAGUGAACUUGAAUCGAUUGCAUGUAAUACAGUACUUAGACUCAGUGUUUGUUCGCAAAGAUUUUUAUUUUUUUAACAGUCGCAGAAACUAUAUUUAUAAAAAACAAUAGAGUUUCGCGAAGUAAAUUCAAUGAUCGUUCAUUAGUAAUUAAAUACUGUAUAUUAGAGUCAUUGAAGAGAAUCUCAAUCAAUUUGAUGUCGACCUACUUCAUUUUCAAUCAUCUAUGUAUCAACCUCCCUCCAUUUAGACUUAAAUCACGGACGAGUGUUAUUGAGCCAUCGCAGAAUUUCUUAAAUAGUAAAUUAUGUCGAGGCUGAAAAUUCCUAAUCGCCCGACGCAAUUAAUUGGUUGUAAUUAAGUAAUUAAUUAGUAGAAAAGCAUUGAAUGAUUUUUCGGGAAUUUACUCCUGAAUGAUUUCGUGAAUUAUAUUUUUUGAUUUAUUGAUCAGGGUCUUCUUGUUUCAUACUCGUUUAUAAUUAUUUGUACUUUGACAUAAAUAUUUGAGAAUUUUCAGCAUAUUUGAGACAUUUCUAAUAAAAAAGACUGAGCAGGAAAUAUUUGCGAUGAAUAAUCUUUGAAUUAUAAGCGAUUCUGCAUAAUUUUCUUAUAAUAUUCAGAAUAUUUGUUUAUAUCUUUAAAUAUAAGCAAAUUUAUAUUUUUAAAUAAAAAUUAAUUAAAUAUUUAAUUGAUUUGGUUGAUAAAAAAAAAUCUUAAAAGAAUCAUUGCUUUUGAAAAAAAAAUGGAAUGGAGUCAUUAUUUUUGAAGGAGAAAAAUCGAGUAGAGUCAUUGCUUAUAAAAUAGAAAAGACCAUUAAUAAAAAAAAAAGCCUUUAAUAAAAAAAAGAGAUUUGUAAAAGCACAACUCGUAAAGCCUAUAAUAAAUCAUUCAAUUUUUA